AGUGAACGCUGGCGGCAGGCCUAACACAUGCAAGUCGAACGGCAGCACAAGAGAGCUUGCUCUCUGGGUGGCGAGUGGCGGACGGGUGAGGAAUGCAUCGGAAUCUGCCCAUUUGUGGGGGAUAACCUCGGGAAACCGGGACUAAUACCGCAUACGACCUACGGGUGAAAGCAGGGGAUCUUCGGACCUUGCGCAGAUGGAUGAGCCGAUGCCGGAUUAGCCAGUUGGAGGGGUAAAGGCCCACCAAGGCGACGAUCCGUAGCUGGUCUGAGAGGAUGAUCAGCCACACUGGGACUGAGACACGGCCCAGACUCCUACGGGAGGCAGCAGUGGGGAAUAUUGGACAAUGGGCGCAAGCCUGAUCCAGCCAUGCCGCGUGUGUGAAGAAGGCCUUCGGGUUGUAAAGCACUUUUGUUGGGAAAGAAAAGCAGCCGGUUAAUACCCGGUUGUCAUGACGGUACCCAAAGAAUAAGCACCGGCUAACUUCGUG
rnacentral:rRNA from 1 species